rnacentral:rRNA from 1 species
UACGAAGGGAGCUAGCGUUGUUCGGAAUCACUGGGCGUAAAAGCGCACGUAGGCGGAUGUGCCAGUCAGGGGGUGAAAUCCCGGAGCUCAACUCCGGAACUGCCUCUGAUACAGCACGUCUUGAGUCCGGAAGAGGUGGGGUGGAAUUCCUAGUGUAGAGGUGAAAUUCGUAGAUAUUAGGAAGAACACCGGUGGCGAAGGCGGCCCACUGGUCCGGUACUGACGGCUGAGGUGCGAAAGCGUGGGGAGCAAACAGG